rnacentral:lncRNA from 1 species
GCUUUGAUAUUUUUCCAAAUUAAGAAUAAAUCUUUAGUUCUUCUUAAGUACUUAAGAAUAUUUUCACAACAAUCCAGCACUCUCAGCCUGGAUACAACUGAUAUUUACUCAUGAUAUUUACAGUACUAUAUCAGUUCAAGUACAUUACAUAGCAUACAUUUAUGCCCAAGAGGGUAGCAGAUCCUUCUUCGAGAUUUCUAUGCUAAACCCUUUCAGUAUAUACUCUCUGUAUUUUAUCUAUGAAAAUACAAGCAUCCAAUUGCAUCUAUCUCUAUAGAUCUUCAGAAUGCUUGC